UGCGAGAUGGUGUUUUGGCACAUGAAGUUUUGGACUUUGAGGUGGUAGGUUAUUCUAUCUCUUGUAG
rnacentral:tRNA from 1 species